UAUAAAAAUUAGAAAGAAAGAAAAAAUGCCUUCAACAAAAAAUGAGACUAACUAUUAUUUAGUUAAUUCAAUAAAGUAUCAAUAUUAUUUUGCAUAAAAAUAACAGUUAUAAUAAUUUAUUCAGAAUUUAUUUCAGAUAUAAUAUGCUCUUCUCACUUGUUUUAUGCUGCUUUCCGUUCUACUGCCAUCAACCAGAUAGCUGCAUAGUAAGUUUCUACUGCCUUGGAGGAUCCUUGUCCCAUAGCACCAGAUUUUCAGAGACAUUUCAGGCACAAUCCAUUGAAUCCUAUCCUUCAACUUUCUGGUUGACUUCAUCAUGGGUGUUAGCCAAAGUGCUGUGUGUUCAGUGUGCUGCUAACACAUAACGCCAAGUGCUGGAUGUCAUGACAUCAUUGUGAUGUAACACUGGAUGAAAUUACAAAACACCUGAUUAUUUAUGACAUCAUGAUGAUGUAACAAUGAAUGGUGUCAUCACAAUGUCGCAUUAUUGUGGUGAUAAUUUCAUU
rnacentral:lncRNA from 1 species